UCAGAAUACGCGGGGCUCCGUGCUCCCACC
rnacentral:sRNA from 1 species